rnacentral:lncRNA from 10 species
GUCCAGAAGAGCGCAUAUGGCUUUCACACAGCCAGCUCCUGUUUUUGGGAUACCACAUCUGAUGGAACCUGUACCGUAAGAUGGGAGAACCGGACCAUGAACUGUAUUGUCAACGUUUUUGCCAUUGCUAUUGUUCUUUAACUGACUAAAAAUGUUGGGCUAAAGCCAUUAACUUAAGAAUUUGUCAGUGUAUCCUUUCCAAAAAGAGUAAUAGUUGUUUACUAGUGUGCUAGAUGAAAAGCGUGCAAUAUGCUUUAAAGCUAUCAACAAAAACUGAAUAUUAUAAGCAAGCAAUAUCAUAGUAAUUGGCAGAUUAGCUCAUAUUCUAUACAGCAUCGUUUAAAUAGGAAAAAUUUAAUGCUAGCAAAAAAUAAAUUUAGAAAUAUGGCAUGACAUGAAAAUACAAUCUUAUAUUUACACCAGCUUUUCACUAAUAUUUUGUACCUAAGGUGAUGGGGAACUCCAUUCAGAUAAUAAAAUUCUCUUUCAGCUAGAGAAGUUAACAGGAAUAAAUAUAUGAACAAAAAAGCUGCAAGGAUAAAUGUGGAGAAAAUGAUGAGAAUUAGCUAACAUUUUUAAGUUUUUUUAAACUUUCUUCCCCUCAGUUGUACUUAAUAUUUAGUGGAAAGUAAUAAUUUUUUUAAUUUUCUAUCAACUAAUAGUAUAGUAACAACUAUGAUUAACUUGUUUACUUUUUCUGAGGAUUAGUAAAUCAAUUUUUUUUAAUUUCAAAUUUUUGGAUUUACACUUGAGGGUAAAUUAAAUCUGGUAAACUGAAUUUCCUAGUUAAAUAAAAUUAGUUGCAGUAUAUGAUGAACAGUGUAUGACUCAAACAGCUGCCUUACAAUUCACUCAUUCCAUGUGGAACAAACAUUUAUCAGAUGCCUAUUAUGGGCAUAUGUCUCUGCUAAGCACCAUAGUUGUCAAUGUGCUGUGCAAAUGCUAAGUUCCUUUUAGCAAUUGUUCAGUUGGAAGACGUAUUAAUAUUUGGGGAAGGAAAAGAAAGUAGUUGUUUUACAAGGGAGGAAAAAAGUGAAUCUGGUUACACAUAUGGAAGUAAGCAAAAUGAAAAGCACUUAUUGCUUUCUGACAGAAUUAUAGAUGUAAUUUUAAGAGUUGCUCCUAGCAAGUUAAAAGUGCAUAUAAAAUAUGCAACUCUUAGUUAAAGGCCUUAUUAUCAGUCUUACCUAUACAAGUAGUAAAUUUUGUCAUUGCUUUAGUUACAACCAUCUGUAAAUAACUUAAAAGACUUAUUAUGUGGGGUUCAAAUUGAGUGGAAUAAAGUAUAGAUUAAAAGUAUACAAUCCUUAGCACGUUAUCUCAGGGCUUAUGAAAUGUAAUUAAAUUUAUUAAGAAAAUAGAUGAAAAAUUAGGGUACACAGCUGGCCACCAAAUGCGAAGUCAAUCUGCUACUUAACCCUGAAAACAAAAUCAGUUUUGCAUAUUACCACUAACACUAAUACAUAUAGAGAGCGGAACCAUAACUCAUUGAAUUUUGGAGAGGAAUAAGCUUAGCGUUAAUAUUGACAAUAUUAAGGCAAUAUUCUUGUAGGAAUACUAUGUGCAUGUUUGAUAUUUUGCCAAAUAACAAUAAUUAAUAAUUGUUCAAUGUUUAAGAAUAAUAUUAACAAAAUAAAGGAGUUUAAU